GGGGAAUCUUGCACAAUGGAGGAAACUCUGAUGCAGCGAUGCCGCGUGAGUGAAGAAGGCCCUUGGGUUGUAAAGCUCUUUUGUCGGGAAAGAUAAUGACUGUACCCGAAGAAUAAGGUCCGGCUAACUUCGUGCCAGCAGCCGCGGUAAUACGAAGGGACCUAGCGUAAUUCGGAAUUACUGGGCGUAAAGCGCGCGUAGGCGGUUAAGUAAGUUAAUUGUGAAAGCCCAAAGCUCAACUUUGGAAUUGCAAUUAAAACUAUUUAGCUAGAGUUUAUCAGAGGAAAGCGGAAUACAUAGUGUAGAGGUGAAAUUCGUAGAUAUUAUGUAGAACACCAGUUGCGAAGGCGGCUUUCUGGGAUAACACUGACGCUGAGGUGCGAAAGUAUGGGUAGCGAAG
rnacentral:rRNA from 1 species